AAUAGGAUGCCUGACAAAAGGAUUAUCUUGAUGUGAUAAAAAAUGUAGUAAUACCCCUAUUA
rnacentral:tRNA from 1 species